rnacentral:rRNA from 1 species
CAAGUCGAACGAAGAGCGAUGGAAGCUUGCUUCUAUCAAUCUUAGUGGCGAACGGGUGAGUAACGCGUAAUCAACCUGCCCUUCAGAGGGGGACAACAGUUGGAAACGACUGCUAAUACCGCAUACGAUCUAACCUCGGCAUCGAGGAAAGAUGAAAGGUGGCCUCUAUGUAUAAGCUAUCACUGAAGGAGGGGAUUGCGUCUGAUUAGCUAGUUGGAGGGGUAACGGCCCACCAAGGCGAUGAUCAGUAGCCGGUCUGAGAGGAUGAACGGCCACAUUGGGACUGAGACACGGCCCAGACUCCUACGGGAGGCAGCAGUGGGGAAUCUUCCGCAAUGGACGAAAGUCUGACGGAGCAACGCCGCGUGAGUGAUGACGGCCUUCGGGUUGUAAAGCUCUGUUAAUCGGGACGAAAGGCCUUCUUGCGAAUAU